rnacentral:rRNA from 1 species
UACGGGGGGGGGCAAGCGUUACUCGGAAUUACUGGGCGUAAAGCGCGCGUAGGCGGCUUUGUAUGUCGAUUGUGAAAGCCCCGGGCUCAACCUGGGAACUGCAGUCGAAACUGCAAAGCUUGAAUGUUGGAGAGGUUGGGGGAAUACCUAGUGGAGAAGUGAAAUUCGUAGAGAUUAGGUGGAACACCAGAGGCGAAGGCGCCUGACUGGCCAAACAUUGACGCUGAGGCGCGAAAGCGUGGGUAGCAAACAGG